CAGGUUCUCUGGCCUAUAGAUGAUGAUUGGUACAAGGGUUCCAUCACGGAGUACAAUUCAGACACCAAGCAUCAUAGAAAAUGAAGGAUUUAUGUUGGAAAUGUGGUGUCCCCAACUUAGAGAAGAAAGGCCUCAAUUACAAUGAAUUGCUGCCUUUAUCACUUAACUUUCAUGAUUGUCAAGGUCUUGAACCAGGUGAACUUGUAUGGGCAAAACUUAUAGAUUGAAAUACCAACAGUUGGGACUACUAUCAUGAAUAUCAUAAUUUUGUAUUUGUCUUUUCCUCUUUGCAUCUGAAGUGCAAGAAGGCAAGAUUUUGUCGAAGCUUGGAUGAAGCAAAAAUGUUGCUAUUGAAGGUUGGAGCAAAUGUCUUUUGUCGUUUGGAGCACAUGCCUUUUGUUGUUUGGAGCACAUGUCUUUUGAUGUUUUUUUGGUGGAGAAAAUUUGUUAUUGAAGGUUGUAUAUAUUUUGGAGAUUGAAGAAAAUAUUGUGUUUGUGUUAUAGUGUGGAGUUAAAUGUUAUAUGUUAUGAAUAUUUUGAAAUGAAAUACAAAUUGUAUGUGUUAAUUUGGUAA